CAGGCUUUUCCAGGAAGGAUC
rnacentral:misc_RNA from 1 species